rnacentral:rRNA from 1 species
AUUGAACGCUGGCGGCAUGCCUUACACAUGCAAGUCGAACGGCAGCACGGGAGCAAUCCUGGUGGCGAGUGGCGAACGGGUGAGUAAUAUAUCGGAACGUGCCCAGUCGUGGGGGAUAACGUAGCGAAAGCUACGCUAAUACCGCAUACGAUCUAUGGAUGAAAGCGGGGGAUCGCAAGACCUCGCGCGAUUGGAGCGGCCGAUAUCAGAUUAGGUAGUUGGUGAGGUAAAGGCUCACCAAGCCGACGAUCUGUAGCUGGUCUGAGAGGACGACCAGCCACACUGGGACUGAGACACGGCCCAGACUCCUACGGGAGGCAGCAGUGGGGAAUUUUGGACAAUGGGCGCAAGCUUGAUCCAGCAAUGCCGCGUGCAGGAUGAAGGCCUUCGGGUUGUAAACUGCUUUUGUACGGAACGAAACGGUGAGCUCUAAUACAGUUUGCUAAUGACGGUACCGCAAGAAUAAGCACCGGCUAACUACGUGCCAGCCGCCGCCGUAA